UGCUCGCACGCUCGCAUAGAUUAACUUUUCAUACACGAUCCCCGCAGUCUCCGUCGGAGUCUGGAUACGUACGCGCCGGCUGGGACACGUUGGACCCGGCGUCGAUUAUCAAAUCUCUAUCAGCGACGGCGAAUUAUACCCUUGGUCCGCGAGGCGUAUCAGAGAAGUUUCAAACGAUCGUGCAGUUCGCUAGUUAUUGACCAAGGAUGCGUUUGCUGCUAGCGAUCGUAGGUCUAAGUUUCUGGAUGUUGCACGUUCUUGUCUGUCCUGCAAACGGUAUGGACAUAAACAUCCUGAAUUCGGAUUCCAUCUACUUUCCCGACCAAGCAGAAUACCUGAAGCUUUCCAUGAAAUGUCCUGAGAACAUGAUCUUGUGGCCAGGAACUCGUCGGUGUUACAGAGAAGGCGAGCAAGGUCCCUGCAAUAUCGGUAGAGUUCUCAUCCUUGAUAAGAAACUCUUGAAACCUGAUUGCAAAGACGAAUUCGUACCAUUCAAAUAAACAGGCAGGGUUUGCAGUUCACUGUUCUUACCGAUUCGUCAAACUUCCGCCAAAGAUGGCAGCAGGAAUCCGGAAGUCAUCCUCGAGAUACUUGGAGGAUUCAUGAUCGUCUGAUCAUUUGUAACUGUUAUUUUUUUUUUUUUUUUCACUACGAAAUAAUGAUGAAACCUUCUUUUUUUUCUACUGUAAUUGUUCAAUUUCACUUUCAUUUUCAUUUUCAUUUAUAUCUCAUUGGCGCGAGGACAAACACUGUGUGGUGAUGAUUGAUUUACUUCAUGUUACGUUGUUUGUGUCAUAUAAUACUUCAACGUAGAAUGUUUCGUAAAAUUCGAUUACAAAUCUGGUUAUUUUGAUAAUAAUGUAACGACGAUUCGGUUGUCACAUUAAUUUAUCUACAUAAUUUGCUUGUGGUGUUUGUUCAUUCAUGUAUUUAAAUGUAUGCUUAGUUAGUAUUUUCUACUAUUAUUGUAUUAUACAUAGACUAUAUAUUGCCAAUUUGAUAAGCUUAUAUGACUGAUACUAAAGUAUUGAAUGAUUUAACUAAUUUUUUUAUCGAAAUAGAAGUUAAAGAAAGAAGAAGGAGUACCUUGCGUUACACAAUUACUAAUUAAAUGUAAUAAACAUGACACAAAUAAUAUUAGCAUCAGUACUAUAUCAUGAUAUAGGUCUGGAAAAUAAAUUUUAUACUAUGUAUUUUGAUCGUAAUCUGUGAAAUAAACUGACAAUAAGAUUGAAUCUAACUUAAGUUUUGUUUCAUACUGUAGCAGCAAUAAAUCAUUGAAAAAUAAAAUAUGUUGUGAAUUAAA